UACGGAGGGAUGCGAGCGUUAUCCGGAUUAUUGGGUUUAAAGGGUGCGUAGGCUGUGAGGUAAGUCAGCGGUGAAAUGCCCCGCUCAACGGGUGAAGUGCCAUUGAUACUGCCUUGCUGGAAUGCGGAUGCCGUGGGAGGAAUGUGUGGUGUAGCGGUGAAAUGCAUAGAUAUCACACAGAACACCGAUUGCGAAGGCAUCUCACGAAUCCGCCGAUUGACGCUGAUGCACGAAAGCGUGG
rnacentral:rRNA from 1 species